GAGCAGAGCUCUUGGCCUGAACUGGGAAGGCGGGCAACCAUUUUCUGGACCAUGUGCUCAGCCAGGUUCUGAUGACCAACCUUUUUAAACAAGCUGGACUUCUGCAGUUUCCCCUGAAUGCACGGAGUCAUCACACAUGGAACCUGUCAAGACUGUCUAGUUCCAGUUCCCACCUAACAUGCUAAGAAUUUUUUUGAUUCAUCCUGAUUUAUCCAGAUCUGCCCUAAUGAUUAUACAAAGGAAACAUUCAACGAAAGAGACAUGUGCAACACAGUUUAAUUACAAGAUACAUAACCAAGUAAGCUGGUUAUUUAUAAACAGAAGAAUGAAGCAUUUGUUUUGAGCUGAGUGGGAAAGAAUGAUGACUACGGCCGUGCUGUUAUGUUGUCAGAUACAAUUAAGACAACACUAAGCUACCAUUAUUGUUUGGAAGUUCAAUGAAGUUGAUGAGGAAUUCAGAUUGAUUUCCCCCCAGGAAAAUAAUUAUCCAUGACUGACUGUUAUUGUAUGAGAUCCAAGACCACCCCAUUAAGUACCCUAUUCUCCAAAAACAGACAGUUCUUCAGGACAAUCAUGUAGCCAGAGUACAUUCUCCAUUCUGUGCUACUUAUUCUAAAUUUCCAAAUAUUCUAUUGUUAACCAAAAACCAACCCCCAGGCUGUGCAACCCAACUGAUGGGGAAAGAAGCAAUAUUUUGGGCAGGCCAAAUGGCAAGAAAAAGGUAUGCAUUUUGGGAAACAAUCCUUGAUCUCUCAAAAACCCCUUUUGCAAAACAACAUUUUUCCACAGAACUUUCUCUAAAUACAUUAGAGAAAGUAGUGGUCCUUUUUCCACACUUGAAACGAUCAUAGGAAGGCCAGCCUGGGACUGUGGAUUCAUGGAGCCUCUGGUAUUCUUAUUAGCAUUCUUUGCAUAAUGUAUAUGUUUAUGUAAAACAUGUGUCUCUCACCUUUCCAUAAGAAUGAAACCUUCAGGGGACAGGACUAAUGGGAGUUGUUUUUUCAAACUGGAAAUAAUUCCAAUGAUACUUUUACAAUGAAGAAUGGAAUUCUGUGUCAGGGUUGUAAUGUCACAUUAUCAGUAUUGGAGAAUUACCAAGGGGUAGCCCUGUUGAUCAGUUAUUGCAAAAUAAAACAAAGGUCCAGAGACACCUUAACGUCUGGCAACAUUUAUUUCAACAUUAGUUUUUCUGAGUCAGAUCCAACUUUGUCAGCUAUCUGACAUAGCAAGCUGUGACUCAAAAAAAUCAUAUUGAAGUAAAUGCUGUCUUUAAAGUGCCACCAGACGUCUAUAUUGUUAACUACAGAAACCAGCUUCCGCCUCCACUUAGGCCUGAAAUUCACCAGAUACCUUUUAGCAAGUGUAUCCUUUCUAACAAUGUUGUUGUGUGAAUAAAACAGGAUACCACAAAACAUGUCAAAAGAGCUUAGAAUAUAAUUAUCACCAAUCUCUCACAAAGAAAUUUUAGAGCUUCUCAAAUUCAUAGAGAAAAAAGAGGCUCAGGAAAGAUCAACAUUUAGAACAAGAACACAAAUGUAUUGCAACUUAGAACACUGUAUUACUAAAAAAAGGUAGAAUAUGUUUAACUAGUGGUUCUCAAUCUGGGUACAUUUUCUUAGGAUUUUGGGUUUCAGUCACAAGGCCUUUUUUUUUAAAGUUACCAUGAACUGGUGGGGGGAAGAGCUAGAAUUAUUUCUACUGGGUUGGGCAGUUUUGCCAAAACCUCUUCUCACUGCUCCACUUUAUUCCAUUCCUAAAAAUCAUAUAUCCCCCCAGAAGCAGAUCUAGAGGGCUCAGUGGGAAAGAGAAAACAGGACAUUUUCGUUUAAUUAGCACAGCUCUUUGGAUAGAUACUUAAAAUUUACCUACUGUCCUUAUCAUUUGGAUUAUCUGUAAAAGCUGAAUAUGGGUAUUGAAGUUCCCCAGCUGUAAUAAACACAGCAUUUUUUUUUAUAAAAUAGAUUGCAUUGUGA